GAUGAAGAACGUAGCGAAAUGCGAUAAGUAAUGUGAAUUGCAGAAUUCAGUGAAUCAUCGAAUCUUUGAACGCACAUUGCGCCCGCCAGCAGUCUGGCGGGCAUGCCUGUUCGAGCGUCAUUUCAACCAUCAAGCCCCCAGGGGCUUGUGCUGGGGCCCUGCGGCUGCCCGCAGGCCCUGAAAACCAGUGGCGGGCUCGCUAGUCACACCGAGCGCAGUAGCACAUCUCGCUCAGGGCGUGCGGCGGGCUCCUGCCGUGAAACCCCCCACUGUAACCCCAAAGGUUGACCUCGGAUCAGGUAGGAAUACCCGCUGAACUUAAGCAUAUCAAUAAGCGGAGGA
rnacentral:misc_RNA from 1 species